AAAGAGCGCGCAUGCGCCUGCGCCCGGCGCGCUCCGCCCCGCCUGGAGUCGGCGGCGGCUCCACGGAAUGGCGGAGAUGGUUUUUUUUAAAUUUUUCUCAGCAUCGAGGGAGAUCCUUCCGCAGAAACAAGCCUCUCCGGUUACUCCAGGAUUGCACUUGAGAGAUGGUCCUUUGGGAAGCAGCGGUGUGGGGAAUCCCCUGAUGAGGACCCAAAUCGUCCCUUUAGCCCCCACACAGACAUUUUUGGUAGCUUCUAAGAAUCUCAGGAGACAGAAAGGUAUGCGCCCCAACUGUAGAGUAAACCUGAGGAGCCACAGCCCAGAGACUGCAAACUGUGUCAGACCAACCGAGAAGCAACUGGACAGCUGCUGACCUCAAGGAUUUGGAGGUCAGUUGACGGCCCAUGGAGCCUAGCAUCUCAAAGGAGCAGAUUGUCAUUUUAUACCUGAGCAGCUGGCCUGGAAAAAUAAAUCACCCACACAUUUAAAAGUCUCUAUGAUAAUCACAAAAUAGGUCCAAUAAAUGUUAUUUACACUUAGCAAGCAGAGGAAGAAACCAAAGCGCACAACACGAUCAAAUGAUUGGCCUAAAGGUAGAGCAAAUUCAAGAGCAGACCUUUUCAUAGAACUUGGUAUCCCCGCUCGUGAUCCUCCGAUCCAUCUAAGAAGCCUCAAGCCUCGCUGCCUCUGUCUUCUCAGAGAGCCUCCUGAAUUACGAAUGAGGAGGAAGGGAAACAGCAAGAGUAAAUAUACUAAGCAGAAGUUCAGAUUGCCCUCGGGGACUACCCCUUCCUUCAUCUACUAGAAUGUCACUGCUGUAUAUUAAAACCUCAAUUAAAAACCUCAGUUGUCCAUAAUGGAGAGGGGAAGAGGCCCCGAUCACACGAGAAGCCCCAAACCAGCCAAUAUCCUUUCUAAUGUGGCUUUCAUAUCCAGUCCGUGAUAUUCCAAAGAUACACAAAUGACACCCUCUACUGUACUGAUCUCUGCUCACUGCCCUCCUGGGUCAUAGCUCUGUGCAUGAGCCCCAAAUCUUGCCUGGGUACACUUCCCUCUGUAGAACUCCAAGCAAGGGUCCCUUUUGUUGUCAUUUGUUCUUAGCAG